ACAAGGGUGGCUCAUAGGCGGAGUGCUACUGCAUUUCUGAACAGCACGCUCAACUGUCUAAAACACCUUUUCUAAAGCAUGAAUGAGGCUGAUGGUGAUGUCAACGUUUUCCUCAAGAUCAAGGAAUCAAUCCUUUAUGUUGUGUAAUGAAAGGAUUCAUUCUGUUGAUUUCCCCCAAACAAAUUAUGUGUUCCACAGAUGAAUUUCUGCUUCAACCUCUCGGGAGGCUUAAUAAAAGGCCUUGAGGCUUUGAA
rnacentral:lncRNA from 1 species